AGGUUUNUANNUCCUGUGACAACCCUAGAGAUAGGGNUUUCCCUUCGGGGANANAGUCACAGGUGGUNCAUGGUUGUCGUCAGCUCGUGUCGUNAAAUGUUGGGUUAAGUCCCGCAACGAGCGCAACCCUUGAUCUUAGUUGCCAGCAUUCAGUUGGGCACUCUAAGGUGACUGCCGGUGACAAACCGGAGGAAGGUGGGGAUGACGUCAAAUCAUCAUGCCCCUUAUGACCUGGGCUACACACGUGCUACAAUGGACAGAACAAAGGGCUGCAAGACCGCAAGGUUUAGCCAAUCCCCAUAAAUCUGNUUCUACAGUUCGGAUCGCANUACUGCAACUCGACUGCGUGAAGCUGGAAUCGGGUAGUACUCCGCGNAAACAGCANGACCGGNGGUG
rnacentral:rRNA from 1 species